AUUGAACGCUGGCGGCAUGCCUUACACAUGCAAGUCGAACGGUAGCGGGCCUUCGGGUGCCGACGAGUGGCGAACGGGUGCGUAAUACAUCGGAACGUGCCCGAUCGUGGGGGAUAACGAGGCGAAAGCUUUGCUAAUACCGCAUACGAUCUACGGAUGAAAGCAGGGGACCGCAAGGCCUUGCGCGGACGGAGCGGCCGAUGGCAGAUUAGGUAGUUGGUGGGAUAAAAGCUUACCAAGCCGACGAUCUGUAGCUGGUCUGAGAGGAUGAUCAGCCACACUGGGACUGAGACACGGCCCAGACUCCUGCGGGAGGCAGCAGUGGGGAAUUUUGGACAAUGGGCGCAAGCCUGAUCCAGCCAUGCCGCGUGCAGGAUGAAGGCCUUCGGGUUGCAAACUGCUUUUGUACGGAACGAAAAGCCUUCUUUUAAUACAGGAGGGUCAUGACGGUACCGUAAGAAUAAGCACCGGCUAACUACGUG
rnacentral:rRNA from 1 species